rnacentral:rRNA from 1 species
CGCGCGCUACACUGAUGCAUGCAACGAGUUCUCAAUCUCCCUGGGCCGGAAGGUCCGGGUAACCUUUUGAACGUGCAUCGUGAUAGGGAUAGAUUUUUGUAAAUAUUAAUCUUGAACGAGGAAUUCCUAGUAAACGCGAGUCAUCAGCUCGCAUUGAUUACGUCCCUGCCCUUUGUACAC